CAUCGAGGUGAGGAUAAUCGAUUCGGAAAAGAUAUAUGUCGAACCGGAAAUACUUCCAGACUACAAUUAUCUGAUCAAUG
rnacentral:snoRNA from 1 species